GUGAGAAGCCAAGGCUCUAAAAACAGCUCCUAUACAUGACACUAUUAAAACAUGUUCCUCGGUUUCAUAUGGAUAUCGAGGAUGCAAAUGGGUUUGGAAUAGGUUUGUCAGUCAGUAAGAGAAAUGAAGAGUCGCAUCUUCCCUUUGAGCCCAAGAAACAGUGAGACAUAAUGAGCUUUUUUCUAUUUGAAGAAGUUUUAUUAUUACUUUCUAAGCUUUCAAAAUUUUUUGGAGAAUCUGAGUAAAAUGUUAGAGGCUUUCUACAGUAGUUUUUAUGGGUUGAGUGUCUAAUUAUUUCUCAGUUCUCUUCUAAGUUUCACAGAUAGGAAUCUCAACUCAUAGAAAGAUUAAACCCACAACAUGCUCUGUCUUGCACUGGAGUUCCCCAGGCCUGAGCUGGGAGCUCAACCUUGUGCUGCAUGGAAAUGCAUGAAGGAAGGUUUUACUAACUUCUGUGCAGGCAGAUGCUCGCAUCUCCAGCAGGGAGGCCAAACCUCUGAUGACGAUUCUCUUCUUCUGGUCAAAAUGUCAUCUCCAGCAUCUGCUACCUGACCCUAACUGCAGAAGAGCUUUAUUCGCUGGAACAGCAGUUUUUUCCAACUCAUGCAAGAGGCUUUUCUCCAGAAUGGGCUUUUAUUUAAAGAAAACUCUCAGAGGAGAUUCCCAACUGUCCAUGCUAGUUUGGGCAGUCAUUCAGCAGCUAAAACUCUUCUGUCUCAAGGCUGGCAUCUCCACCAUACAGCAGCUGGAAUACAAGUUCCAUUUCAGAUCACACACCUUCUCCAAGAAUGGGCAUGGCUUUCUGAUGAAUAGCUCCUCCAUUGUCCCCUAAAGGCUCUCAGUGUUUUCCCCAAAGAGGUCUUAUCCCCAUCAUUGUAUUGCUUCCUCCUUGCACUGCCUUAAAGCCUGCUUUUAUUUCCCAGAGGUAUUUUCAAGCUGAGGUAGGCACUGACAUAAACAAAUAAAGAAGUCAUACUAAUCUCUUCUUCCUUCUACACAGCAUGAACUUUCCA
rnacentral:lncRNA from 1 species